UCCCCUUCUUGGCCAGGACAGAGCGGAAAUCGACCUGCUGGGGGCUGUGCACCUUCCUCUCUUCCUCGGACACAGUCUUUGGCUUCACUUGCCGCUGCAGGUUGGCACGGAAAUCCAUCUGCUCGGCUGGGAUCUCCUUCAGGUCGUCUUCUGAUAGGGUCUUGGUACUCACCUUCUUCCCCAGGAGGUCUCGGAAGUCCAGCUGCUCCACCUCCUGCUGACGGAUCGCCUCCUCAGUGUGCUGCCUCGUCUCCACGCGCCUCUUCAGCACCCCUCGCACGUCCUCGCCGUCUUCCUCCUCUGGCCAACCCUGCCCUCUUGCUGGCCAGCCAGGCCUCAGGGACCCACAGCGGUCACUACCACCACCAUCAGCACCAACUCCUCCACCACAGAGGUCCUCACAGCUGGCAGGCUCCCUCCCCCUGCAACCAGUGAAGGGAAAAAGGAAAGUAGCAGGAGGAAAAGGGGCUGGCUCUUAUUUAAAAAGAAGAAGAAAAAAAGAAUGUCUGGACAACAGCUAAGGCAGGCAUCCAGAAGUAGGAAUACUUUUCUAUAAAUGAUAUGCUCACAUGGCACAAAAUUCAAAAGGUACCAAAGAGUAUGGAAAGUCUCCCUCCCACCCCAUCCCCCA